rnacentral:rRNA from 1 species
UACGGGGGGAGCAAGCGUUGUUCGGAUUUACUGGGCGUAAAGGGCGCGUAGGCGGCCUCUGCAAGUCGACUGUGAAAUCUCCGGGCUUAACCCGGAACGGUCAGCCGAUACUGCAGGGCUAGAGUGCAGAAGGGGCAACUGGAAUUCUCGGUGUAGCGGUGAAAUGCGUAGAUAUCGAGAGGAACACCUGCGGCGAAGGCGGGUUGCUGGGCUGACACGUGACGCUGAGGCGCGAAAGCUAGGGGAGCGAACGGG